UGGUGGGGUGACUUGUCUGCUUAAUUGCGAUAACGAACGAGACCUUAACCUGCUAAAUAGCCCGCAUUGCUCCAGCAGUGCGCUGGCUUCUUAGAGGGACUUUCGGCUCAAGCCGAAGGAAGUUUGAGGCAAUAACA
rnacentral:rRNA from 1 species